rnacentral:rRNA from 1 species
AACGAACGCUGGCGGCAGGCUUAACACAUGCAAGUCGAGCGCCCCGCAAGGGGAGCGGCAGACGGGUGAGUAACGCGUGGGAAUCUACCGUACCCUACGGAACAACUCCGGGAAACUGGAGCUAAUACCGUAUACGCCCUACGGGGGAAAGAUUUAUCGGGGUAUGAUGAGCCCGCGUUGGAUUAGCUAGUUGGUGGGGUAAAGGCCUACCAAGGCGACGAUCCAUAGCUGGUCUGAGAGGAUGAUCAGCCACAUUGGGACUGAGACACGGCCCAAACUCCUACGGGAGGCAGCAGUGGGGAAUAUUGGACAAUGGGCGCAAGCCUGAUCCAGCCAUGCCGCGUGAGUGAUGAAGGUCUUAGGAUUGUAAAGCUCUUUCACCGGAGAAGAUAAUGACGGUAUCCGGAGAAGAAGCCCCGGCUAACUUCGUGCCAGCCGCCGCAGUAAAAC